UACGUAGGGUGCGAGCGUUAAUCGGAAUUACUGGGCGUAAAGCGUGCGCAGGCGGUUAUGUAAGACAGUUGUGAAAUCCCCGGGCUCAACCUGGGAAUUGCAUCUGUGACUGCAUAGCUAGAGUCCGGGGAGAGGAGAGUGGAAUUCCUGGUGUAGCGGUGAAAUGCGCAGAUAUCAGGAAGAACACCCGUGGCGAAAGCGGCUCUCUGGAACGGUACUGACGCUGAGACGCGAAAGCGUGGGGAGCGAACAGG
rnacentral:rRNA from 1 species